UACAGAGGUCUCAAGCGUUUGUUCGGAUUCAUUGGGCGUAAAGGGUGCGUAGGCGGACAGGUAAGUCAGUGGUGAAAUCUCUGGGCUUAACUCAGAAACUGCCGUUGAUACUAUUUGUCUUGAAUGUCAUGGAGGUAAGCGGAAUAUGUCAUGUAGCGGUGAAAUGCUUAGAUAUGACAUAGAACACCGAUAGCGAAGGCAGCUUACUACAUGAAGAUUGACGCUGAGGCACGAAAGCGUGGGGAGCAAACAGG
rnacentral:rRNA from 1 species